AAGAGGACCAAGGAUGGAGCCCCAGGAAGCACUAACUUUAAAAGGGAGUGGCAGAUGAGCAGAAGCCCACAAAGAAGUCUGAGAAAGAAUGGCCAGAGAGAUAAAAGAAAUAGAUGAGAGCAAUGCAUCUGAAACCAAGCAGGUGGAAAUACAAAGUUUACGGAAUGUGGCCACGGUCAUACUCUCAGCAGUUAAGUAGUAGGCCAAGAUUUGGACCCAGCACAGGCAUCUUCUUUCCUGCAAACCUACCCUCAGAGCCUUAGUCGGUGUACAUUAUGGGCAUUAACUCAUUUAAGCCUCAAAACAGCCCUUUAAGGCAAUGUGAAUUAUAUAACGGGCUGUUUUCUCCUUUCCCUUUGACUGCCAAGAAGCUCCGAGUAAAUUUGUGGCUCAGCAUUAGUAACUGGGAGGACCCUUGGCCUGCAUAUCUAUAUUGUGUCAGUUUGAAACUUCUCAAAAAGUUAGAAGGAAAAAUAACUUGGAUUCUUUAUUUUCUAAAUUGUUGAUAGUGUACAUUUAUUUUAUACUUAGAAAAAGUAAACUUUAUUUUUAAAA